rnacentral:misc_RNA from 1 species
AACCAUAGAAACCUGCGGAGUACCUGCGGAGGGAUCAUUAUUGGAUUUUCCCAAAGAAAAAUGUUGUGCUUUCUCUUGAAAGAGAGGAUAGUGCAAUGUUUUUCUCAAACAAACGAUCACAACUAGCAAGAGAAAAUUGAUUUGGAAACAAGAAACAAGUGUUUGCCUGAUAAUCAAGAUGAUUUGGAUUGAAGAAAGAAAAACAACUUUCAACAACGGAUCUCAGAUCGGAAGAGCACA